GCCAACGUAGCAUAGACUGGUAGUGCUUCGGAUUUGUAAUCCGACGGUCGUGGGUUCGAAUCCCUCCGUUGGCU
rnacentral:tRNA from 1 species